UUUAAGAGCAUUUCAAUAUUAUAUUAUAAAAAAAGUACUUCAAAUAAUUUCCAUUCAUAAACAAAUAAAACCCAAAAGAUCAAGCCUAUUUAUAUAUAUCAAAUAUAUUUUCCCAACCCAAAUUAAUUUUAUUAAUCACUAAAAAAAACAAGGAUCACAUAAUUAAAAUAGGAAAAAUACUAAGUCAUACUACAAAAUAACUAAAAAAAUAAAAAUGAAGAUAAUAAAUAGUAGAAAAAACAUACUGAGUUCUACUCUUCUUCGGCAUGGUAACAUAUAUAUAUAUAUAAAAUGGAUAUCAGUGGGAUUUGGAGAGGUUGAUGAGUUGGAGCUGAGAUAAAAGAAGUUGGUUCUCUUGGAGAAGAAGAAGAGCUUUCUUCCUCAGCCUCUCGUUCUCUUGUAUGAUGCUUUGGUUCUGCAUGUACAGCUUCAAGUUCUUCUCCUCCAUCUCCUUCUCCUCUUUUCCUACUUCAUCUUUUGAUGAUGAUAACCUUCUCCUCCUCCUAAAUUAUUAACAUCAACAAACAUUAAUCCUAUAAAUUAUUUCUUAUAUAUCCAUAUAUUUAUUCUUAAAUAUAUUGAUUCAGAACAAUCAAUAGUUGAGAUUUGAAAAACUUUUGGUGUCUACUUAAAUUCUAACAUAAACUAUCUAGUGUUGAAAAGAGUAAAGACAAUUAUAAAAUCUUAUACAAAUCCUUAUAUUAGCUACUACCACCAUAGCAUAUGAAUAAAUAUACAGAUGGGAAUAGAAUAUUUCGAAUUCCCUCGUGAAAAAAUGUAUAUAUAAGAGGAUACAUAAAAAAUGGUCAACCUACAAGAGGAACAGAAGUAUAUCGAGUCUGAAAUUAUGUUCUAAUUAUAUCUCCGUGAGUGUAUAUAUAAAUAUAUAUAUUACCCAUGAGAAAUAAAUCAUAUAUAUAUAUAUGUAUACUGACCUGUUUAGACUGCGAACUCGACGGUCGUGUCUCUUUAAUGGCCAGUAUCUGUGGCGACGAGAAACUGGAGAAAAUGGACUACUGCAUGGGCUGCAGGAAGAUACAGAGGAGUUCAUGCACAUUGUGUUUAAACCCACCAAAGGCUUUUGGUUUAUAAUUAAUUUCCAAUUCACAAAAGAGGAAAUUAAGUUUUAGAGAAAGGGUUUUAAGAGGAGAUGAAUAUAUAUUUGAGAUAUAUAUAUAUAUAUAUAUAUAGAGAGAGAGAGAGAGAGAGAGAGAAAGAGGCUUUUGAAGGUAAUAAUGGGAGAAGAGGAGUCAUGAUUACAAAGGGCAGAAAACAGAUGAUGAGGAAGGCAGAAAUUGAAGAUGAAGGCUUCAUUUUCUUAUUUUCUUUUUCUUUCGGCCUUUUGAUUACUUUCUCACUGUCCCAAAGACUCUCAUAUAGAAA
rnacentral:lncRNA from 1 species